rnacentral:rRNA from 1 species
GGCGCACGGGUGAGUAACGCGUAGAUAACCUGUCUUCAUGUCUGGAAUAAUACGCCGAAAGGGGUACUAAUACCGGAUAUUCUUGCUUUUCAUAAGUUAUGCAAGCAAAGGUGGCCUCUGCAUAUGCUACUGCAUGAAGAGGGGUCUGCGUACCAUUAGCUAGUAGGUGGGGUAAUGGCCUACCUAGGCGACGAUGGUUAGCGGGUCUGAGAGGAUGAUCCGCCACACUGGCACUGGAACACGGGCCAGACUCCUACGGGAGGCAGCAGUGAGGAAUAUUGCGCAAUGGGGGAAACCCUGACGCAGCGACGCCGCGUGAGUUGAGGAAGGCCUUCGGGUCGUAAAGCUCUGUCAAGAAGGAAAGAAGUGUACAAUGGCUAAUACCUGUUGUAUUUGACGGUACCUCUAAAGGAAGCACCGGCUAACUCCGUGCCAGCCGCGGC